CAGUCUGCAACUCAACUGCACGAAGCUGGAAUCGCUAGUAAUCGCGGAUCAGCACGCCGCGGUGAAUACGUUCCCGGGCCUUGUACACACCGCCCGUCACACCAUGGAAGUCUGCAAUGCCCGAAGCCGGUGGCCUAACCACUUAUGUGGAAGGAGCCGUCUAAGGCAGGGCAGAUGACUGGGGUGAAGUCGUAACAAGGUAGC
rnacentral:rRNA from 1 species